CCCGCCUCCACGCUGGGAAAGGAGGAAGGAAGCGCGAAGCGCCGGGCAGGGGCAGGGGAGAGCGCGGCCCGGCGCCCUGGGCCCGCCUCGGCGCGCAGCCGAGCCCGGCGGCUCUGCCUUUGUUCGCCUCCCUUCGUGGCACGGCCAAGGCAGGGCGCUGGGCCAGAGCCCCUCGCGCUCCCCGCACCUCGACGCCCCUGCCACCGUCGUGUGUGCUCCCCGGCUUUCCCGGCCCCGCCAGAGCGUGCGGGUUGUCCCUCCCGAGGGCACUGCCACCAGCGGGCCCUGUGCAUGAGGAGGGGGCCUGCUCCCCAUCAGCGCUGCCUUCAGAGGCCUCCGCCCCGGCGCUGCAUCUGCCGCCGCCUGGACGUGCCGUGAGUCAAAGCGUAACGUAACUGAAGUCGCUCCUGCCAGGAGCACACAUCCCCAAUACAGCAUUUCCGCUGGGACCAGGCUGUGUCCACUUUCUCCUACCUGAAUCCUCAUGGAAAUUUUCCUCUGUAAAAGGCCAAUAGCUGUUUGAGAUGCAAGGCUCUGGCCCAGAUGUUUCGCCAGCACAGGAGGAGGCAGGUUUCAGGACUAGAACAACCAUCGGUUGGUUCCAGAAUGCCAAGUUCCGUGUUCCUUUGCUUAAGAGAUUGGGUGCACAGGUCUGACCAACCGGCCAAUUUUCAAGAAACAAUCCAGAAACAGGAAGAGAACUACUCCAUUCCUUUUGAAGAUAAAGGCACCUCCUCUCCAUGUGAAAACAAAACACGAGGAGCAGAACAGAAGAUACUUGUGUUCCCUGACAAGAAAGGAAACACAGAAACAAAAUAUGUUCCCUGCAGCAAGUGA
rnacentral:lncRNA from 1 species